GCCCUUUUCCGUGCUUCUUUCUUUUGAAUCUUCGAGUAGUCGAUUUUUAUUUUUCUUUCUUUUUCUCGAUUCAUCAAUUUUUCUUUUUCUUUUGUUUUUGCACUUUCUUGGGCUUUGAGAGCUUUUGGGGUUUUUACCCCAAACUUAGCUUUUCAACACAGCUUUGAAUGCAUUCUCAUGACUCUGAACAGGGUGAGGAAGUGUUUUGGCCAAUGGUUACAUUUAUGGUGUUUUAAACAAAAAAUGGAUAUAUGCUCAAAGGGGGUUAACGAGGGAUAU
rnacentral:lncRNA from 1 species